AAGGGCCGGGCCACCGCGGUGCCCAGGAAGGGAUUUAAAGAGGCAAGCUGAGGUCCUGCAGCCGCCACGCCCUGCACCCUGUACCGACAGCCCUCCGCCGGCACACUCUUGGUUCUGCCUGCACCGGACCCCCCCGGAACCCCCACUGCCCUAUCCCACUGCCGCUCAAGCCCUAUCUUGAUCUUGCUAGGCGGUGGCCUCAGGGCAGCCCAGGACCCCUAGAGGGGGAAGAAGGGUCACGGAGAGGAAAUCUCAGGGACAUGGUUGUGUCAAGGGCCCGAGCCUCCCAGAACCUUGGCACAUGGUGGACGUGGAAUAAAUGUUGAAAAUUGUGGCCGGGUAUGGUAGGUCACACCUGUAAUCCCAGCACUUUGGGAGACCGAGGCGGGCAGAUCACUUGAGGCCAGGAGUUCGAGACCAGCCUGGCCAA
rnacentral:lncRNA from 10 species